rnacentral:rRNA from 1 species
AACCAGGAAACUAAGUUAUAUAUUAACGGUAAAAAGACAGUUAAAUAAUAAAUAUUAAGCUUAUUGAUUAUUUAUAUAAGGGUACAAUUUAAUAUAAAUACAAUAAUAUUUUAAUAGCUUUACAUUGAAUCUGUGAUAUCUUUAAGGGAAACUGGGAUUUGGUACCCCAUUAUUUUUAGUUGUAAAUAAAGAAAUUUACCAGAGCACUACGAAUAACAAUUUAAAACUCAAAGAGCUUGGCGGUAUUUUAGACCGUUUAGGGGAACCUGUCUCAUAAUCGACAAUCCACGCAAUACCUUACCUUUUUUGGUAAUCAGCUUGUAUACCGUUGUCAUCAGGCAACUUUUAGAAAAUAUUAGAGUUGGCUAGAAAAUAAAUCUAUUUAUAUGUCAAAUCAAGGUGCAGCUAAUAAAAAGGAGAAGAUGGGUUACAAUUAUAAAAUCAUAACAUGGAUAAAAGAUUGAAAUAUAUUAUUUGAAAAAGGACUUAAAAGUAAAUUUAUUAUAUAAAAAUAAGUUGAACAAGGCUCUAAAAUGUGC